rnacentral:tRNA from 1 species
GCGGGUGUCGUUCAGUGGCAGGACACGUGCUUCCCAAGCAUGUAACGCGGGUUCGAUUCCCGCCACCCGUA